rnacentral:rRNA from 1 species
UACGUAGGGUGCAAGCGUUGUCCGGAAUUAUUGGGCGUAAAGCGCGCGCAGGCGGUCCUUUAAGUCUGAUGUGAAAGCCCACGGCUCAACCGUGGAGGGUCAUUGGAAACUGGGGGACUUGAGUGCAGAAGAGGAAAGCGGAAUUCCACGUGUAGCGGUGAAAUGCGUAGAGAUGUGGAGGAACACCAGUGGCGAAGGCGCUUCUGGUCUGUAACUGACGCUGAGGCGCGAAAGCGUGGGGAGCAAACAGG